rnacentral:rRNA from 1 species
GUGACAGCCCCGUACACAAAAAUGCACAUAUUGUGAGCUCGAUGAGUAGGGCGGGACACGUGGUAUCCUGUCUGAAUAUGGGGGGACCAUCCUCCAAGGCUAAAUACUCCUGACUGACCGAUAGUGAACCAGUACCGUGAGGGAAAGGCGAAAAGAACCCCGGCGAGGGGAGUGAAAAAGAACCUGAAACCGUGUACGUACAAGCAGUGGGAGCACGCUUAGGCGUGUGACUGCGUACCUUUUGUAUAAUGGGUCAGCGACUUAUAUUCUGUAGCAAGGUUAACCGAAUAGGGGAGCCGAAGGGAAACCGAGUCUUAACUGGGCGUUAAGUUGCAGGGUAUAGACCCGAAACCCGGUGAUCUAGCCAUGGGCAGGUUGAAGGUUGGGUAACACUAACUGGAGGACCGAACCGACUAAUGUUGAAAAAUUAGCGGAUGACUUGUGGCUGGGGGUGAAAGGCCAAUCAAACCGGGAGAUAGCUGGUUCUCCCCGAAAGCUAUUUAGGUAGCGCCUCGUGAAUUCAUCUCCGGGGGUAGAGCACUGUUUCGGCAAGGGGGUCAUCCCGACUUACCAACCCGAUGCAAACUGCGAAUACCGGAGAAUGUUAUCACGGGAGACACACGGCGGGUGCUAACGUCCGUCGUGAAGAGGGAAACAACCCAGACCGCCAGCUAAGGUCCCAAAGUCAUGGUUAAGUGGGAAACGAUGUGGGAAGGCCCAGACAGCCAGGAUGUUGGCUUAGAAGCAGCCAUCAUUUAAAGAAAGCGUAAUAGCUCACUGGUCGAGUCGGCCUGCGCGGAAGAUGUAACGGGGCUAAACCAUG